AAAUUCUGGCUAGCGUCACAAUGAAUGCCACCGUCACCUAGCGACAAAUCCCUGCGGCUUGGCGGAGACAGAGAACUUUGUGGAGGUGCCUAGGCGGUGGACUCUCGCCUGUCUUCUCUGUGGGAUCCACGGGAUAGUCCCAUGAUCCUAGGAGAGGGCAGACGUGAGCCAGCCUGAAGAAACGCCAAGCAGGAGCCCCAGGAAUAAACCGCAAAAUCCCUAAGGAUCCAAAAGGAUCUGCAGGAUGCCUCAGGCCUGCCUAGUCAUCGUAGGGAUAUGGACACUAUUGAUGGGAGCGGCUGGCCAUCUGGAGUGGCAGUUGCCAUCAUGCCAGUAGCGCUUGGGCCGCAUGGGCAGUGUUGUCAGGAGCAGCAGCAGGAGCAGCAGUGGCGGUGGUAGGACCCCGUUCCCUGUGUCCCCAAGGCAUCUGACUGCGCCGCCGCCCCCUAAUGGCUGGGCAGGACCCACUGCCAGGUGCAGACCCUCCAUGGCGGCCUCAAUUUCGCUUCCUACCACAUCUGGGAGCCCAUCAGCGCUGGCAGCCGGGUCUUGCAGGAUUGGCCCCAGGAGCAUCAGGUUCAUUUGUGCGGCAUUAGCCAGGGCCCCCAUGCCACCUGCACCUCGCCCAUGCACUACUGCAGGGAAAACGCAGAGAGGAGUCACGGCCAAGGCUGCACACUCUAUGGAGCCAGUGGCAGCUGGGGACAAGUGGGAGCCCAGCCCCUUCCAAGUUGCCAGGGCAGGAACUCCCCAGGCGCAACUGCAGCUGCCCAAGGAGGGUCUGCGACCCAGGCACUCCUGUGCUCUUGGGAGCCAGGAGAAGGCAGGAGCCCCACCCUCCCAGGCACAGCUGGAGCCUUUCAAGCCACAGCUGCAGACCCAGGCACCUCUGCACUCUUGGGGCCUGGGAAGGCCCCCGUGACCACACAGGCUCGGAAGUGCCUGCCCCCACUGUCUGGGUUCUCCUCGCUGUCAGCACCUGCUCCAAUCUUCGAGCAAAGUUGAGGUCGAGCACACUAUAUUGUGACCAAUAUAAAAUAGAUAUAAAAAUACCUCUUACACUUAAAUCCAGGCAUUGCCAUUUGAAUGACUUAAGAAUAUGCAGCUAAGGUGCUUUUAAAAAUACAAGCUAGUGAUUAUACUGAAUUUGUAAAUCACGUAGGAUAGUGAGUCAUUUUAGAAUAUUAAUUAUUUCAGUCCAUAAACCUGGAUGUCUUUCCUUUUUUGUGUUUUCUUUAAUUUCUUUCAUUGAUGUUUGUAAUUUUUGUUAUAGAAAUCAUUUACUUCCUCGGUUAAGUUUAUUUCUAAGUACAUUUUUGUAGCUAUUGUAAAAGAAAUAGCUUCCUUAAUUUUUUUUCUGCUAGUUUACUAUCAACAUAUAGAAAUGCUACUGUUUUUUGUAUGUUGAUUUUAUAUCCUGCAGCUUUAUUAAAUUCAUUUAUCACUCUAAGAAGUUUUAGGUAGAGACCUUAGUUUCUUCCGUGUAUGAGAUCACAUUGUCUGCAAACAAGGAUAAUUUGACUGUCUCCUUUCCAAUUCAGAUGCCCUUUAUUUCUUUCUCUAACCUAAUUGCCCUGGCUAAGACUUUCACUAUGUGAAAUAUGAUUGGUGAAAGUGGGCCUCCUUUUCUUGCUCCAGUUUUCAUGGUAACAUUUUUCACCUUUUCCACGUUCAGUAUGAUCUUAGCUGUAGGGUUGUCUUUACGCCCUUUUGUGUUGAGGCAUAUGUUUUCCACACUAAAUUGUUUAGAGGCUUUUGUCAUGUAAGAACGUUUAAUUUUGCCAAAUGCUUUCAUUGUGUUUAUUGAUUUAAUCAUAUGGUUUUCAAUAUAUAUCCAAAGGAAAGAAAAUCAAUAUAUCAAAGCCUUACCUGCACCCCCAUGUUUAUUACAGCACUAUUCACAAUAGCCAAGAUAUGGAAUCAACAUAAGUGUCCAUCAACAGAUGAAUGGAUAAAGAAAAUGUGACAUACAUAUAUAAUGGAAUACUAUUAAGUUAUAAUAAAGAACAAAAUCCUGUCAUUUGUGGCAACAUGAAUGCAACUGGAGGGCAUUAUCUUAGGUGAAAUAAGCCUGGCAUAGAAAAAUAAACACCACAGGCCAGGCACGGUGGCUCACGCCUGUAAUCCCAGCACUUUGGGAGGCCGAGACAGGCGGAUCACGAGGCCAGGAGAUCGACACCAUCCUGGCUAACACGGUGAAACCCCGUCUCUACUAAAAAUACAAAAAAAAAUUAGCCGGGCGAGGUGGCGGGCACCUGUAGUCCCAGCUACUCCAGAGGCUCAGACAGGAGAAUGGCG
ensembl:lncRNA novel transcript